GGGGAAUAUUGGACAAUGGGCGCAAGCCUGAUCCAGCCAUGCCGCGUGAGUGAUGAAGGCCUUCGGGUCGUAAAGCUAUGUGGGGAGGGAAGAACCGUUGGAGCAUCAGAUCCUCCAACCUGACGGUACCUCCUGAGCAAGCACCGGCUAACUCCGUGCCAGUAGCCGCGGUAAUACGGAGGGUGCAAACGUUGCUCGGAAUUAUUGGGCGUAAAGCGCACGUAGGCGGACCACCAAGUCGGAUGUGAAAUCCCUCGGCUUAACCGAGGACGUGCAUUCGAAACUGAUGGCCUUGAGUACGAAAGAGGAUCGCGGAAUUCCCGGUGUAGAGGUGAAAUUCGUAGAUAUCGGGAGGAACACCAGUGGCGAAGGCGGCGAUCUGGGUCGAUACUGACGCUGAGGUGCGAAAGCGUGGGGAGCAAAC
rnacentral:rRNA from 1 species